GGGGAAUAUUGGACAAUGGGCGAAAGCCUGAUCCAGCCAUGCCGCGUGUGUGAAGAAGGUCUUCGGAUUGUAAAGCACUUUAAGUUGGGAGGAAGGGUUGUAGAUUAAUACUCUGCAAUUUUGACGUUACCGACAGAAUAAGCACCGGCUAACUACGUGCCAGCAGCCGCGGUAAUACGUAGGUGGCGAGCGUUGUCCGGAAUUACUGGGUGUAAAGGGCGUGUAGGCGGGAAUGUAAGUCAGAUGUGAAAUCCCAGGGCUUAACUCUGGAGCUGCAUCUGAAACUGCCUGACUAGAGUACGGUAGAGGGUGGUGGAAUUUCCUGUGUAGCGGUGAAAUGCGUAGAUAUAGGAAGGAACACCAGUGGCGAAGGCGACCACCUGGACUGAUACUGACACUGAGGUGCGAAAGCGUGGGGAGCAAACA
rnacentral:rRNA from 1 species